AGGUGAAUAUACUGUUCAAAGUGACAAGUUUGCAACACGAAUUUUUCUGAAUCAAGAAAUUGAUGAAGUUGAUGAGCUAAGGAGGAGGCAUAUAUUGAAGUUUGGACAAGGGAGUAGUUCUACUUCUCAGACGAUACUAUCGUCUCAGAGUAUUUUUCCAUUACAUAAAGAAUUUGUAACUGAAGGAAAUGUCUUGUGUUGUGGUUGCGACAAUUAAGAUUG